UGGGGAAUAUUGGACAAUGGGCGAAAGCCUGAUCCAGCCAUGCCGCGUGUGUGAAGAAGGUCUUCGGAUUGUAAAGCACUUUAAGUUGGGAGGAAGGGCAGUAAGCGAAUACCUUGCUGUUUUGACGUUACCGACAGAAUAAGCACCGGCUAACUCUGUGCCAGCAGCCGCGGUAAUACAGAGGGUGCAAGCGUUAAUCGGAAUUACUGGGCGUAAAGCGCGCGUAGGUGGUUCGUUAAGUUGAAUGUGAAAGCCCCGGGCUCAACCUGGGAACUGCAUCCAAAACUGGCGGGCUAGAGUAGGGCAGAGGGUGGUGGAAUUUCCUGUGUAGCGGUGAAAUGCGUAUAUAUAGGAAGGAACACCAGUGGCGAAGGCGACCACCUGGGCUCAUACUGACACUGAGGUGCGAAAGCGUGGGGAGCAAACAGG
rnacentral:rRNA from 1 species